rnacentral:lncRNA from 1 species
GUCUAUUGUGCAUAAAUGAAACCUACAAUUAUUACCACAUAUUUGGAAAACAAGGAUUAGUCAAGUAACUUCUAUCGUUCCAACUAUAGAAUAGAACAUCAGAGACCACUAUUUUGCAGGCUAAAACAAAGUCACUUAACAUUAAGUGCAAGUGAAUCCAACACAUAGGAAAGGUUGUUAAUGAUCAAGAUGUCAUAAUAUGCGGAAACCAUAUAACAACAGGACUUCACUAAAUAAUAAAUUAAACCAUAAUUUAAGAAUCGAUUUGUGAUGAAAACACUUGUAGAUCAUGAAGCACAUUAGCUGCAAGUCUCAUAAUCAGCUCAACGGUAUUUUGCACUAUAGGCAUUGCUGAACACUAAAAUAAUCAUAUUGAUAAAAGGUUAUAUCAAAGAGUUCCGCAGGGAUAGUAUAAUACCUCCAAAUAGAUUUAGCAAAAUAACCUGUGUCAAGCGUCAAAUAAUUCCAUGAAUACCAAAGAGACUAUACUGUAAUCCAAUUGCCUUGCAAGGAUAAAAAUUUGUCAGAAAGCUCUUUUGCAUGAUCUUAGAUAUAAUGUAAAAUUCUAUAGAUCCAACAAGAGAAAUAUUUUUUCCAAGCAGUACACAUGCCAAUUAGUCCAUGGCGAAUCGAAAAUAUAGUCGGUUAGAAAGAUCUACCAGACCAACAUGAUGACACCAUUAUGCCUUGCUAAUAAAGAUACAUACCUUAUCCCUCGUUAUAUCCUCUUUGGAAAGAGUUGUAACAGUUUCAUUUAGGUGAAACAUCAGAGAUGUUAUAUAUUAGUUAUGAAAAAAACUAAGAAAGAUAAAAUAGAAAUCAACAGUCAAAUGAACCACUCUAAUUUGCCUUUAUCCUCUCAUCUUAUUCACAUAGCCCAAGUAUAUAAGACUUUUACACAUGAUCAACAGAAUCUAAAGCAUAAAAAUCAUAAAAGUAGCUCUCUGGAACACUGAAUGUGCAUGUCUUAAGAUCUAGAAGAGUAUC